rnacentral:rRNA from 1 species
CCUACGGGAGGCAGCAGUAGGGAAUCUUGCGCAAUGGGCGAAAGCCUGACGCAGCAACACCGCGUGAAUGUUAAGCCCUUCGGGGUGUAAAGUUCUGUCAAUAGGGACGAAAUUUGACUGUACCUAUAAAGGAAGCACCGGCUAACUCCGUGCCAGCAGCCGCGGUAAGACGGGGGGUGCAAGCGUUGUCCGGAAUCAUUGGGCGUAAAGCGUUCGUAGGCGGCAAGGUAAGUCUGAUGUUAAAGCCCGGGGCUCAACUCCGGUUCGGCAUUGGAUACUAUCUAGCUGGAAUGUGGUAGAGGUAAAGGGAAUUCGUGGUGUAGCGGUGAAAUGCUUAGAUAUCACGAAGAACUCCGAUUGCGAAGGCAGCUUACUAAACUGCCACUGACAUUGAUGCUCGAAAGUGUGGGUAUCAAACAGGAUUAGAUACCCCAGUAGUC